rnacentral:piRNA from 1 species
UUGUACAGAUCAGCUGAUGAAAAAGGC